AUCUUCUACUUUGAGUUUAAUUGUCACAAUUUAUUAUAUUAUGCAACACAUUCAGUUUAGACACGACCCUGUUGUUUUCUAGUUAGUACGGUGUCCGUUUUAAAUGGCUGUUGGUUGGUGGCCCCAGGUCGCAUUCUUGGCCGCGUUCUUAGUGAUCUGUUUCAUCAUAUUCAUUUUGAUUGAGUGUUGCUGCGUUCGAUCGACAUUGGGACCUUUUCAAGUUCUUGGUGGUGGUCAACUUGUAACAAUGCAGAGAUUGAGGGCAAUGGAAAACCUUGCAAUUCCUCAAGAGUGGAUCGACCAUUUUCAGUAUCAAUAUCAACCACCUCCACCUUAUGAACCUCCUCCAAAUUAUGGGGACAUUUCAAUACUUCCCAUCAGUACAUGUAUAGCGACAAUACAAAUAGUUUAAAAGUAAUUUUUGCGUACUUAAAUAGAACAAUUAAGGUUAUGUAAAGGACUUCAAAUGUUGCGACCAAACUACAUUAUUUUUUAAAUUGAAUCCAUAAAUAAAAGGUCACAAAUAUUAAUCUCAUUUUUGUGUAUGCAACUCACUGCGCUCAGGAUGUAGCAAAAUGGCAGAGUUGUCGGUAUACGUAACUAUAAAAUGUGGAGAUAAAUGGGGUAAUAUUUUGCAAUAUUUAUUUAUUUCCCAAAUGCUAAUUCCAGACGACUCGACUAUGUAGGUUGAUAUUGCCAAAUCCUGAUAACAUUUUGUGCAGUCUUGCACUGCAUAGCAUAUUGUGUGCAGCCAAUGAUUGAAACAAUAAAUACGAAUGCGUGCAAAAAGUAAAACUGGGAUAAUUUACAUGCGAAGUUCUUUGUAGUCAUAAAGCAGUUUGUGAAAUGUGGGAUAUUUAACAACAUUUAUUCAUCAUACACAAACUAACCACAAAUACACAUCGAGAGAGCAAUAAUCAAAAAGACUGGUACAAAGUUUCAUUUUUUCGUGAGGCUUGUGUUAUAAUUGUCGCAAUAAUGAGUAAUCCGUACGAAGGGUACAAAUUGUACAGAUUAACAGCCACUACAGAAGAACAAAGACAAACCUUAUUUAAUUUGGCAGAAGAGAAAAAUCCUGGGGUCAUAUUUCUUACGAGACUGGAUGAAAUCACAGUAGGAGAACCGACUGACAUAAUGGUACUGCCCGAACUGCAAGGGAAGUUUGUAGAGGAAUUGACCAAACGGGGUCUAGCGACACUAAUUCUGGGGGAAGUGAAGUGAUGCAUGUUACACAAAGGGCUUCCUGAACUGUGACCUGCCUUGGACAACAAUUCAAUGAUAUCAAACUGCACAACAAAUCGCACUUUCUUCUGCGGUGCCGAAUUAUUUUACGAAAAAUGUUCAUAUCAUGCUUGUUAAAUUAAAUUUAGAAACUAAUUCAAACUUUUUUGACAAGAAUCAAAUUACAAACUAUGCGUUUACUCAUGUCCUCCAUCAUUUAAUGACUUUUUUUACAAUUUACUUUUAGUUACAUUUUUGUGUUAUUUAGCGUAGCAAAUUAUCCUGUUCCCAAUUUGUGAGUCAAUUGUCAUUAAAAUAAAUAUGACUUAACAAAUAAGUGAAUAUAAUUUACACGACUUCCUCUUUAAGCCCAACAUUUUAUUUGCACAAUGGAAGUAAUGCAAUGUAAAAUGAGAAGAUUUUACGUAUUUCUCUCUCAACUUUUCUGCUCAAUUAGUACUGCAUUGUGUUUUGUUGCGUUAUACGGUUGACGGUUGGAUAGAUCUUUCAUAAUAAGUAAUAGCACGAAUAAUAUCAUAUCACCAAACCAACUGAACUAACGUAGAUGUACAUACAGACGAAUGCACAUACAUACCUCACCUGUAAUCAACUCCGCCUUUGCACAGGUGAGAGGUUGCUUCAAAUAAUGGAAUUAACAAUGUGAGUUUAUUACACUCCGUCCACCAAAGAGUUUAUUAAAGUAGGGAAAUAAAAAUCCGUCCAGUAAUUUUAGAAACCGAAUCUCACAUAAAAAUCUCAGAGUUUAGAAAAGUGAACCCUUUAAGAUUAACUUUAAGAUCAUGCGAGUAGUCAAAGUUUGUGAAAUAUAAUGCAUAUGCACAUAAUGUAAAUUCGUUAUAAACGUAAGAAUACCACAGUGAGAUUAUUAAAUAGUUAGGGUCAACUGCAUGUAUAUAAAAGAAGGAUGAGGAUUUUUAUGAAGGGGGUAAGAAAUGAUUUUAAAAAGUCAAAAUGAGUGAUCGAAAACAAAACGAAUCCGUGAGCCAUGCACUUCUUGCUCUGGGAAUUGUUGCACUUCUCAUAGCAUCCAUUAUAAUCGCAUGGGUUAUAGUAUGCUGCGAGAGGUGUCGGAGGAAGAGAAAGUACCGACCCGGUCAGCAAAAUCG